UACGGAGGGGACUAGCGUUGUUCGGAAUUACUGGGCGUAAAGCGCACGUAGGCGGAUUUGUAAGUCAGGGGUGAAAUCCCGGGGCUCAACCUCGGAACUGCCUUUGAUACUGCAAAUCUCGAGUCCGGAAGAGGUGAGUGGAAUUCCUAGUGUAGAGGUGAAAUUCGUAGAUAUUAGGAAGAACACCAGUGGCGAAGGCGGCUCACUGGUCCGGUACUGACGCUGAGGCACGAAAGCGUGGGGAGCAAACAGG
rnacentral:rRNA from 1 species